rnacentral:rRNA from 1 species
UACGGGGGGGGGCAAGCGUUGUUCGGAAUUACUGGGCGUAAAGCGCGUGUAGGCGGCCCUGCAAGUCGGAUGUGAAAUCCCACGGCUCAACCGUGGAAGUGCAUUCGAAACUGCAGGGCUAGAGUCCUGGAGAGGAAGGUGGAAUGCUUGGUGUAGAGGUGAAAUUCGUAGAUAUCAAGCGGAACACCGGUGGCGAAGGCGGCCUUCUGGACAGUGACUGACGCUGAGACGCGAAAGCGUGGGGAGCAGACAGG